rnacentral:rRNA from 1 species
CCCGAUUCUCAAAGAGCUACUGUUCUAUUUUUUUAUUGUGUCAUAAAUAUUAUUAAUAGGUUAGUGGAAAUGAAACGUUAUUCGUUUUGAGAUGUAUCUGGUUUUCUAAGAAAUGAAUUUAAUUCAGUUUUUGCCGAUCAUUGGGUUCCAAUUUGAUGGUUUCAAUGAGGCAGGGAGCAAUUUAGUCGGGGACAAGCUCGUCUAAAAAUUUUUAUUUAAUUAUUAUUUAGCCUGGUUUGUAGGAUUAAAAUUUUCUAUCAUUUGUAGUAUGUUGUAGUUAACUUGGCUGUUAAUUGUAUUUAUAUUUUUAAUAAAUUGUCUAUUGGAAAGUGAGUUUUAAUUUUUUAAAUUGAGAUAUAAUGAUAGAAUUAGUAUAUUUUACAUGUAACUAUAAUGAGGAUGUUAUGGAAAAUUAAAGGAAUUCGGCAAAAAAGCCUCCACCUGUUUAUUAAAAACAUGGCCUUUUGACGAUAAUAUAAGGUCUGGCCUGCUCUAUGAUAGUAUUAAAUGGCCGCAGUAAUUUGACUGUGCUAAGGUAGCAUAAUCAUUAGUCUCUUAAUUAGGGGCUGGAAUGAAAGGUUUGAUGAGGGGAUAGCUGUCUCUGGUUUUAUCCUAGAAUUUUAUUUUUAAGUAAGAAAGCUUAAAUUUUUUUGAAAGACGAGAAGACCCUAUAGAGUUUUAUAGGUUUGCUUGUUACUUAUUUUUGAAAAUUAUAGAAGUGAUAGGGAUACCUAUUUGGUUGGGGUGAUUGUAAAAUUUAUAUAACUUUUAUUUUUAUAACCACUGAUGAGUGUUAGCUUGAUCCGGGGGUGCCGAUUAAAAGAAUAAAUUACCUUAGGGAUAACAGCGUAAUCUUUUUUUAGAGUUCUAAUCGAGAAA